AAUUGCUAAAUUGCUUUGUAUUCUCCAUAUUGUUGAAUUAAUAAAUAUCGUCAUUUGUCAUUAAUCCUUUAUUUUUCUUUACUUCUAAACCUUGUUUUUCGGUGUGUGAUCUAGUAGACUUCAAUAUUGUCAUAUAAUCUAGUUCUUUAAAAUUCGAUUUGGAAUCAACGUGUGUUAUUGGAGCUUCUGCACCCCCAACAAGUGGUAUCAAAGGGAGGUUGUUGAUUUUUUGUGGAUUGGUUGAGAAUUUUUUUCGAGAUGGUUGGGUUAAAGUAUGAUAUUCCGCAAUUAGUUCGCAACAUAAGGUUCUUGUUGUGGCACGUAAAGAUGAGGGUUGUUCUGGCGCAGUUGGAUUUAGAAGAUGCGAUGUUGGGUUUUGAGAUAAUGCCAGCUAGAUGGACAAUGGAGAAGAAACAACGGAAUGAUCGGAAGGCUACGUCAUUGAUUCGCCUCUCUGUCCAACAACAUUCUACAGAAUGUCUUGAAGGAGAAAACGGCGGCUGCUUUGUGGUUGAAGUUGGAGCAGUUAUGUAUGACUAAAAGUCUUACAAGUAAACUGGCUCUUAAGCAGAAGCUUUAUUUACAUCGCAUGACGGAAGAAGAGUCGUUGAAAGACCAUGUUGCCAUGUUCAAGGAAAUAGUUGCAGAUCUGAAAAUGUUGGAGGUUAAGUACGAUGAAGAAGAUCUUGCCUUGAUCCUAUUUUGUUCUCUGCCUGGGUCUUAUGUGUCGUUUUGAGAUACUAUUUUGUGUAGUCGAGAUACUUUCACUAUAGAAGAUGUCUAUGAUGCUUUGCACUCAAAGGAGAAGACGAAACAUUUGGUUGGAGUUAUAUCAAGGGAUGGGAAAGCUCUUGUAUCUCAAGGUGGGCGACAAAGAGGCAGAUCGAGAGUCAAAUUUAGCAAUGUGACUUGUUACUACUACAAAAGGAAAGGACAUAUUUGGAAGGAUUGCGAUAUGUUGCAGACUAAAGGUGAUUUAGUUGCAAAUCAUGGGGUGCAACCUUUGAAUUCAGACGAAACCAAUGUAGUUGAGAAUUUUUCAGAUGGCGAAGAGGUGAUGUUGACCAUAGUAUCUGAUGUGGAGUCUAGGCCUGACGAGAAGUGGAUUCUUGAUUCAGCGUGUUCGCAC
rnacentral:lncRNA from 1 species